rnacentral:misc_RNA from 1 species
GAUUUUCUGUAAUCUGCAUAUCCAGCAAUGCAAUUAAUGACCACUUGGUUCCGUUGGUGAUCCUGGAACAAAAGGAACAAAACCUCGUCCACCGAAAACGGGACGCAUGAAUGCGUUGUCAAAUUUUCUCCAGUAACGAUGCACAGUGUGAGAUGGUGUUGAUAGGAGCAUACGCAAACUGUGGGGACGGGGUACAUUUGGGCCCAGAUCAGCUUCUGAGUCUUGUGUACUUUCAAGAAGUGGCACGAUGAAGGAUUUUGGGGUCGUCGGUUCAGAAGAGAUCAUUCUGGUCAAGUGUUUUGGUGAGGGUUGCAAUAAUCUGAUUAAAGGUUUUGUCAUCAACCCGAAUACCCCUGUGCUGAAAAGGACAACAGUGAUAGUACUUGUGAUCAUUAUGGCAUUGGCACGUAACUGAGUAUGGCCUCCCCUGGUA